GACGGAGGGUGCAAGCGUUGUUCGGAUUGACUGGGCGUAAAGGGCGUGUAGGCGGUCGGUCAAGUCUGGUGUGAAAGCCCGGGGCUCAGCUCCGGAAGUGCAUCGGAAACUAGCUGGCUGGAGCGCGAUAGAGGAGGGCGGAAUUCCUGGUGUAGCGGUGAAAUGCGCAGAUAUCGGGAAGAACACCCGUGGCGAAGGCGGCUCUCUGGACCAUAACUGACGCUGAUGCACGAAAGCGUGGGUAGCGAAUGGG
rnacentral:rRNA from 1 species